UUGAAUAUUACUUGGCCAUUAAAAGAAGGGAAUUCUGCCUUUUUCAACAGCAUGGAUGAACCUGGAGGACAUUAUACUAAGUGAAAUAACCCAGACACAGAAAGACAAAUACCCUAUGAUCUCACUUAUAUGUGGAACCUAGAAAAGUUGAACUCACAGAAGCAGAGUGGAACAGUGGUCACCAGGAGCUGAGGUGGUGGGGGAGGGAAAUGGAGAAAUGCUGGUCAAAGGUACAAAUGGUCAGUUACAAAAUGAGUAAAUUCCGGAGAUCUCAGGUACAAUUUUGUGGCAACUUGAGUAAUAAUGCUCAACUGUAUACUUGAAAUUUGCUUACAGACUAGCUCUUAAGGAUUCUUACUGCAAAAACAAAAGGCAACUAUGUGAGGUGAUCAUGGUAAUGAACUUGAUUGUACUAAUUAUUUCACAAUGUACAUGUAUAUCAAAUCAUCACAUCUUAUUCCAUAAAUAUGUACAAUUUUUAUCAAUUACACCUUGAUAAAGCCAGAAAAAAAAUUCUGUUGCUUCACCAUGCAUGUUGCAUAUGUGUGCACACACACAAACAUAGAGACUUCUUUUUUUCCCUAAAAGGGUUAUUUUAUUUUAGACUUAUUAAAAGAAUGAAAGCAUGGGUUUGAAAGAGCUAAAUCUACAAACAGGAAUAAAUUGUGUGUGAUUCAUUAACCAUAACAAGUAUAUACACACAGACACACACACCACACACACACACACACAUACACACAGGCUUAGAAGUGCUGAAGAGGUGUGAGCACAUUCUGGAUCUUGGGCUAACUGCCUUUUUAUGUCUUUCCAGGAUGUCAGGGAUUCUUGAUGCAGGGUGACUGCUAACUCUUCCUGAAGGUUUCCCUGUUUUAUCCUGAGUGUGUGUCUGACCUACACUGUCUUCUUCACCAUACUCAGAAACAUGUUAGUCCCAGCCACUUUCUGGAAUUAGAACAUGGGAUUUGAGGUCAAGCAGGUGUGGGUUCAAAUUGCCUCUGUCAGUUACCAAUGGCAGGAUAUUCACCUAACAUUUCAAAAUCACAAUAGCGUGGAUAAAAAAUGCCAACCUCACAGGACCAAUUUGGGAGUUAUGUAUAAACACAAAGACACAUGUGCAUAUACACAUAUUCACAUGUGCACAUUCAAGGCACGUACACAUGUGCACAUACACAUAUACAUACACAUACACACUCAUGCACACACAUAUACACACACAUACAUAUGACAGAAGGAGAACCUGACACACGGUAUUCCUGUGAGAGGACAAACUUAGCGUUGCAUCAUGCAAUAAGAGUAAUUGAACAACACCCUGAUUACAUGUGGUACAAAUUCUAAUUUUCUAAUUUGUUGUCCUUUUACUUAUGAUAACUGCUUUGCAUACUCGAGAUGAAUCGUUUAAAGCUGAUGUGAGUGAGCAUAUCCAACAACAAUCCUAGCGCCUGCUGUGGAUCAGCUGUGCUCCAGUUGAAUGUACCUGUGCAGAUCCCUCUUGGAAACAUGCCCCAUGCCUUCGUUCUGCAGUAACUUGCUCUUCUCAGCUCUAUUUUUGGAGGCCUCAGGGCACUGAUUUUGAAUCUGGGCACCUCUGAAUUGUCACUUCUGACCAACAAGCAGUCUACUUUGUCAACACCUUUUCUUCUGGGACUUGUGUUGCCUGCCUGCUGGAAUUUUUCUCAUCUAGUCCUGCCUUCCACACUCCCCCCAUUAGAGAUGAACUCUUCCUGCGGGGCUGUUUGGCUCCUGGCUGGUCCGCUGGGGCUGUCCCUCAGACUCUGACCUCCCUCGGGCACCGACUUCAUGAAAACACAGCCCUAUCUGAGGGGCACCUGCCCAUGAAGCUGCUCUUCCUAAGCUUUGCAGUACCUGCCACAUUGUCUCCCCACUGCUAAUCAUAUUCUCUCUGCUAUGGUUGUUUAACAUUUUCUUCACAUUUAUAAGCAAUUUUGCGUUACAGAAUCAAAAGACCUUCACAUUAUGUCUUAUUCCCACCACGAAAUUUUAGGUUCUCUAAAUUGUGAGUACUCCUUAUGAUACUCCACAUGAUAAAUAUAUGUGAAAUACAUUUUUAGAAAUAUAAAUAUGGAAUUGUAUGCACACACAUAGAUCUUUUGGGAACUGGCUCAUUGGUCAUACCAAUUUUGGAAAAUAAUUAAUAAAAAUGUAAAGCCAAUGAAAACGUCAAUUCAUUUGGAAGAUUUCUAAUGAUCCUCAAAAUAUGAAGUUAAACUCUCAUAUCAUAACUACAUUAAAUACCAGGAAGAAACCUAUUUUGAGACACAGAAAUGUUGAGAAGCUCUGAGAAAAAGCAGCCAUUAUUCUCAUUUAAAUUAGAAAUUUGUUCCUUCGCUUUUUUGUUCUGCCUCCAGAUCCAGUCCUUGCCUGGGGUUUGAA
rnacentral:lncRNA from 10 species